AGAAAGAAUAAAUCUUGUUGCAUGAAGAGUGAUUGGUGCAUGUGAUGGCCAAAUGAAGUAAAAAAGGGGUAAAAUGCAUGAAAGAUUAUUGGGUGUAAAUAAGGUUGAUUAAAUAUAAAAGAAUGUAAGAAUGGUAGGAUAUUGGUCAUUGAGAGUGGCGGUUGGAUAAGGAUAACGAGGGAAGGAUAUUCAACCAAUAAUGGAAAGGGAAGAUUGGUGCAUGAAAAAUUAUUGGAUAGUAGAGUGGAAUAAUAGGAUGCAUAAAGGAGCAAAAGGUAGUAAAUAACAAAAGGAAAAAGGAAAGACAAGGAAAGCUUAGAGAACUUUGGCAAAAACCGCACCUUAGAGAAAGAAGAAGAAGAGAAUUUAGUCUUUGUAAAGCUCUACUCGAAAGGAAGAGAGAAAAGAGAAGAAAACAGACAUUCAAGGGAAGGCUCAUUUUUGGAGAAAAUCUAACGAAAUCGUGAGGUUUCCUUUCCUUUACUUUGUUGAGUCUUGACAUCUCAUCACUCAAAGAGAACUUUGGAGAUUUGGAGAUGUGUGGCUUGAUUUCAUGAUUCAAGUGAGGAAAGGCAAGAAUUGUGAUUUUAGUUUAAGUAUGUUUUGAAAACUAAUUAGUAACAUUGGGAAAUGUUUAUGGCAGCAAAGGUUUCUAAGAUUUGAAAGAACUAGAUGCAUGCAUGUUAUCAACCUUUGGUUAAAUGGUGGAUUUAAGCCUUGAUGAUCAAAACUUAGAGACAUAUUGGAGAUGCAUGAAAAGUCCAAGCUAUUUUAAAGGUGUUUGAUGAAAGAAGAAUUUUAUGGAAGAAGGAGAGCAAUUUUAAAGUGUAGACUUUCAAUACACAUAUUUUUGUAUUUUGGCCAUAACUUUCUCUACAGAGCUCUAAAUGAAGCAAUUCUUAGACCACUGGAAAGAUAAGAGAAAGAUCUACAACUUUUAUGUUUACCACUUCACCCAGUUUGACUUGUAGAAUGGUUAAAAAUCUUAUUGAAAUUGACAUAAUGCAG